AGCCGCAUGCGAAGAUGUAUUAUCGCAUGCGGCUAUCUUAAGCAGUCGCAUGCGAUAAUACAUCUUCGCAUGCGGCU
rnacentral:pre_miRNA from 11 species